rnacentral:rRNA from 1 species
UUGCAGUUAAAAAGCUCGUAGUUGAAUUUCUGGUCAGUUGUAGUCUUGGCUUCGGUCGGGCUAUGGCUGGUCAUCCGUUUGCAAGCUGCUCUCGGCCUUCACUGGUUCGGAGUAGUGAGCUGACAAUUUACUUUGAAAAAAUUAGAGUGUUUCAGGCAGGCUUUUGCCCGAAUACAUUAGCAUGGAAUAAUGGAAUUGGACUUAGGUUCAUUUGGUUGGUUAUUGGAUCUGAGUAAUGGUUAAUAGGGACAGUUGGGGGCAUUAGUAUUUAAUUGUCAGAGGUGAAAUUCUUGGAUUUUUUAAAGACUAACUUAUGCGAAAGCAUUUGCCAAGGAUGUUUUCAUUAAUCAAGAACGAAAGUUAGGGGAUAAAAGAUGAUCAGAUACCAUUGUAUUCUUAACUAUAAACUAUACCGACUCGGAAUUGGUAGGGUAUCUUAGCUCUAUCAGCACCGUAGGAGA